UUUUACUGCAUGUGUGAGAUUUCAUCGCCAAGUUUGUUAUUUUAAAUUUGGUUGGAAUGAAGUCUCUGCCGUAGGUAUUGAUUUUUGAUGAUUUGUAUGUAGAAUGAGUUAGCAAAUUUGAGGUUUAUGCAGCAUGUAGCAACUCAAAACUGAAAUGUGAAAUUGGAACUAGCAAAUAUUUAUGUUCGGCUCCAAGAUGCUUAUCAUUUGUAUAUUUAAGUAUAGAAAAUUAUAGGACUUGAGAAUUGGUGAAAUCAUGGAUUCUUUGUACUUGGGUAGUUUCUCCUUUAGCACUUUGUAAUGUACCUAUAGAGAAAUGAAGGUAUGCAGUCUUCUUGUUUUUACAUGUUUUCAUCAAAUGAAGAAGUAUGGCCUUAUGCACAUAGAGUCUUACCAAUUCCCACUAAUCUGCCUGAACCACUUGUGGUAGUUUAAUGGGUAUCGGUAUGGUUCUUGUAUUGGUUUAUCCCAAUUUUAACUUCAAUUAUGCUUAACGCUAUUAUGAUAAAAUGGCUUGAGUAUCCGAAUUUAUCGAAGAAAGAAGUAGAGCUCAAUAAAUACAGAUUGAGUGAGGAAGAAAGAUUUUGAUUGCAAGUAUAGUGCCAAGUGUAAGGUUGUAAGGUAAUAUUUAGAACAUAUUGGCAUGAACUCUAGCUGAAAUUAAUAAUGUAAACACUCGGUUUCUUUUCAUUAUAUUGUUCGUUCUAUCACUGGUAAUUUUCAGUGUCUCAUUAGUUUUAUCUGUCAUUCUUACACAAAUUAUGUCAUCUCUUGUAGAAGAAGAAAGUUAAGGCAUCUUUAAGAUAAAUCCUUUCUAUGUGCCAUAUCCAAUGCCUUUGGUGAUUCUAAUCUUUGGAUCUCGGUUAUAAUCUCAAUGCUAAUGCGAAUGGAAACAAACUGGGGGAAAUGGGGUAUGGAAAUUUGGUGGAAAUGUGAAGCCAACCGUGUCAGCAAAAUCUUUUGUGAGGAAAAAUUCGGAGCCCUUCACGAAUUCCUUGUCAAGGAACUCCUCAACGAGUGAAAAAUCUUUGAAUGUGCUGUCCUCAGACAUUGAUUUUAAUAAAAUGCCUCCUAAUGGUUCCUUGAGUAUGCUAGUUCGUGCGGUUCUAUUGGAUAAGAAGCCUGAUGAAGUUCCAAUGGCAUACUUAUCCUUGCCAGAGGGUACAGCUUCUGUGGUUGGCCUGAUAGCAAUGAUAUUUCCUGUUCAAUAUUUCCUAGCAAUGAACCUAGUACAGCUUUAAUAUUUCCUGUUCAACUGAGUUUGGUCACUUUACUGUCAAUCUGGUCCUGUUAUAUAUCUGUCGAUCAUAUUGUUAGAUUCGACUUUAAUUUGGCUUAUUUUGGUACCAUAAAAUAGUAGAUAUAACUAAUGGUUUGUUGUUUACAAAAUUAUGUCUUUGGGUGAACAUGCUAAACAUCAUGUUUUGGAAUUGGGUUGUUGUAUGAGUUUCAGAAUGUAAGUUAGCAGCUUUUUGGCA